UAGGCAUGCUGCUGUCUGGUGAUGCUGGGAGUUGUAGUUGGGGCGUACAUACAGGGGUCGCAGUUGCACGGGCUUACGUGACGUCACAAUGUUAUCAGCGCUGCAGGUCCGGCAGGAAGUUGGGAACAGAGGAGCGUGGGAGCCACUGCCCAGUAGUCUGACUCUAUACUAAAGUCACUCACCUCGCCUCGUUCUCUCUCUCUCUGCCAGCCUGAGCCAGGCCCAGGAGCAGCCCUCAUUCAGCCAGCCAGAGCCCACACUGAGCCCAGCCUCCAGCAUUCAGCCUUGCCAGUUGCCACAGACUUUCAGCAGGUCGAUUCAGCAGCUUUCAGCCUGAGCCAGCCCAGAAGUGAUCUUUCAUCCUCAUGGAGGUCUCACCGACAUACACAAGUCCACAAGGGCACUUCAAGAGAUAGACUACGAAAUUACUAUUGCAGGAACCCACCCACCCAUACAGGGUGGGGGAUGAGGUGGUGGUCGAAAACACUGAAGAAGGGAAGAGCUCAAGGUGAUUUCGUAUAUGGCCCACCUACUACCGUGGUUGCAGUAACCAGAACAGCUGUGCUAACUGAAUAAUCUCCAAUUUGGAUCCACGCCACCCGAGUGAAGCUUGUGAGAGAAAGAGAGGAGGCAGAAAACUGAGGCAGACAGCCUUGGCCUUGAAGAAGGACAGGAGGUACUAACGGGGGCAGACAGCCCUGACCUCCAACGAGGCCCAGAGGUACUAACGGAGGCAGACAGCCUUGACCUCAAAGAAGAUAAAUUCCUCGAGAUGGCUGAAAUGUUGUGCCUUGAUAAUUGCAGUCCCCAACCCAGUAGAUGUAUGGACGGGGCUCCUACGUUCCCAAGCGAAUGACACAGAUUUACAGGAUCAUGAUGUUAAAUAUGGAUAUGUAAAUCCUUAUCAUGCUCGUUAUAACUGUCCUACAUAUGAGACUCUGCAAAGUAAUAUGAUAGAAAUAAUCACAGGUCUUGUUACAGCGGCAGAAAUAUGUUAUAAUUUCACCUGUGAUGAGACAUUAUUGCCUCCCUACAUACAAGCAAAAAUGCAGAACAAAGAGUAAGCCAAAUAUUUGUGAUAGAGAUCUAGGUAACUGUAAAAAGAUAGUAUCAGAAAAAAAUAUGAAA